rnacentral:lncRNA from 1 species
UAGAGGCAAUUUCUCUGUUUGUAAGGGGAGAAAGUUACAAAGAGACUAGUUUUAUGAUUAUUUAUAGUAAUAGUUGUUAGAAUUGAAGAGGUAACUUGGUACUCACGUUAACUCUCUUAAAUUAUAUCUUCUAUCCAAGUGAUGCUACGAAAACGACUUCAAUGAAUUAAGAGUGAUUUCUUUUUUAAUGGAGUGUUGAAAUGUAGUACAUUAAAUUUCAUGAUCAAACCUAGGCACCCAUUUUAUUAUUCAUAUAAUAUAACAAUAUUUUAUUAUUUAUACAAUAAAAUAUGUUUAUUGGUGACUUCUAGAUACAAAAUUAUCUAACCACCACAGAGGAACCGCCCCUUUCCUUGGCUUAAAACUCACAAAUUUUAUUCCCUCUUUUUUUAUUUUAAGGAAUUGCUUAGUCGUCUAGUAACAAGUAAGAGUAGUCGAUAGUAUUAGAUAUAGAUAAAAAAAAAAGAGCAAGGAAUAAAAAAAAAUUCUACUAAUCAAUAUUUGUGAGGCUCUUUCUUGUAUUCUUGUAUUAGAUCCAAAGGUUUUUUCUUGACCUAACUACAAAGAUGAUGAAUCAAUUUCUUUUUCUUUUCUACUCUUGUCCUGCCGCUCUAUUUUUGUGAAUACCGUUUAUAAUGAUUGAUGAAGCAAAAAAUUUCAAUUGAACUUAUUAUUUCAAUUGGUAUUUUUGCUUAUCCCCCUCUC